UUUGUAACACAAGUAGGCAUUGACUGGUUGUACAUUGAGCUUCAGCUGUGUUUCAUGCUAUAGGCUGUAGUAAGUUAUGUUUCUUUAAUUGUACACUUAUAGUCAUCUGUGCUUCCACCUUUAUUACAACUGUCCACCUACGUGUCCCACAACCUCUGGUAUACAAUCUCCAUGUCUCGAAUCUAUCACUAACCCAGCACUGCCGCUUGAAAAAGUCGCCAUUGCCUAAUCGGAUCGGAGUGUGGGAGUCUAAUGGUGGAGCCAGUUCCAUCGGCAAAUAGACUACGAUGUUCUUCUUGCAACACCGGUGAACCAAUGAUGAGGGCACGCUGUGCAACAGCGAGGGACGAUGUGUGUCAACGUGGUUCACGGUGGCGCUUAGGGUUCCGGUGACCGUUUUUCUUAAUAUGCGAUUUAGGGUUUCAUUUAUGUUUCGAAAUCGUGGGAAAUAUUUUGAUUAUACACACUGAAUCUUACUGGUGAUUGUCGUUUCGAAUUCGUGAGAAGUUGGGAAUUAAUAUUAGUUGUUUAGGCUAAUUUUAGGGUUUUUGUUGAGUCUAUUGAUGUGUUCUGGCCAUUUUCUUCUUAUUCUUUUAGUGGCUUUUGAGGAGGUGAAGAAAGAGCUUAAUCUGGUUCUAUCGUUUCCUCAACAGUCUUGCUCGCCAAAAAUAUGAUGAUGCGGCUGAAGCUUCUGUUAAUAAACAGAUUAAACGAGUUUUUUUUUUUUUCAGUUGAUGAUUGAUGUGUUUGAGUACAGGUUUUUUAGUGUUAAUUUAUGUAAAUUUUUGCAACUGAAGUAUGGAAUAUUUGGUAAGUGUUUGAUAAAAGUCAAAGAAAUCUCUCAGAAGUAACAAUAUAAAUUAACAGGUAAGGUGAAGGGGAUAUGAACAUAUAACCAACAAGUAAUAUCCUAUAGUUUAUACAACAACAUAAUUUUAAAAAUAAUGUGGUUAAAGAUGGUAGACCUUGACUUAUCAAAUUAUCUUUGUAUUUUAUCCAGGUGAAAGGUGAAUGGAUCAAUAGUUCAGCAGGGUUGGCUUUUACAGCUCACACCAUCCAUGUAUCUUUUGAAGAGCUCAAGUGUUCCAUACAUAGUCAAACAUCCCAAUUAACUUUCUUCCGCUCAAGCAAUCACACGGGUCUUUUUAUGUUCAUAGAAGAGUGGUUCUGACUGGUGAGAUAGAGGUUGUAAGUUCAUCAUGGCGUCAAGAUGUUAGGUUUAGACUCUCAUGAAAGACCUUGCAAAACUGCAAGUUGAGAAUAACCAACUUCCAACACUGAAGGUUAAUAGAUGAUAUUGCAAUCUGCUUUUUCUAGCAUUAUUAUUUUGUAAGAUGUUAUUGCAUUCAUGUUGGUACCCAAUCAAAACGCCGUUUGUGUGUAGAAAGUGUGUAAUUUGCCCCCUUUUUACUCUACCAAUUAUAAGUUUAUAGAACUACUAGGCUUAGCG